rnacentral:rRNA from 1 species
AUGGCGAUGGCGGCGGCGGCGGGCUCUUCCAGGCGCGUGCGGAUGGACGACGACGAGCUUACCUUCGAGACCUCGGCGGGGCUGGAGGUCGUGGGGAGCUUCGACGCCAUGGGCAUCCGCGAGGACCUGCUCCGCGGCAUCUACGGCUACGGCUUCGAGAAGCCCUCCGCCAUCCAGCAGCGCGCCGUCGUCCCCAUCAUCGCCGGCCGCGACGUCAUCGCCCAGGCCCAGUCCGGCACCGGCAAAACCUCCAUGGUCUCCCUCUCCGUCUGCCAGCUCGUCGACACCAACAUCCACGAGGUGCAAGCAUUGAUACUGUCACCAACUAGGGAACUGGCCACACAAACAGAGAGGGUGAUGCAAGCUGUUGGGAACCACAUGAGUGUCUCUGUGCAUGCCUGUGUCGGUGGCAAAAGUAUCGGUGAGGAUAUUAGGAAGCUUGAGGCUGGAGUGCAUGUUGUUUCAGGAACCCCAGGGAGAGUAUGUGAUAUGAUCAAGAGAAGGACGUUGCGCACAAGAGCCAUCAAGCUCCUAGUCCUGGAUGAAGCUGAUGAGAUGUUGACCAGAGGUUUUAAGGAUCAGAUUUAUGAUGUCUACAGAUACNNNNNNNNNNNNNNNNNNGUUGUCUUGAUCUCUGCAACUCUGCCCCAUGACAUCUUGGAGAUAACUAGCAAGUUCAUGACUGAUCCAGUCAGGGUCCUUGUGAAGCGUGAUGAGUUGACCCUAGAGGGCAUCAAACAAUUCUUUGUUGCUGUUGAGAAGGAGGAAUGGAAGUUUGAUACGCUGUGCGAUCUUUAUGAUACACUGACCAUCACCCAAGCUGUCAUUUUCUGCAAUACUAAGAGAAAGGUGGAUUGGCUUACUGAAAGGAUGCGCACCAACAACUUUACCGUAUCAGCUAUGCAUGGUGACAUGCCUCAAAAGGAAAGGGAUGCGAUUAUGAGUGAGUUCAGGAGUGGCACGACCGGUGUUCUGAUCACAACAGAUGUUUGGGCUCGAGGGCUGGAUGUUCAGCAGGUCUCUCUUGUCAUUAAUUAUGAUCUCCCAAAUAAUCGUGAGCUUUACAUCCAUCGCAUCGGUCGCUCUGGGCGGUUUGGGCGCAAGGGUGUGGCGAUCAACUUUGUGCGCAAGGAUGACAUCCGUAUCCUGAGGGACAUUGAGCAGUACUACAGCACGCAGAUUGACGAGAUGCCGAUGAACGUGGCCGAUCUGAUCUGA